rnacentral:rRNA from 1 species
UACAGAGGUCCCAAGCGUUGUUCGGAUUCAUUGGGCGUAAAGGGUGCGUAGGCGGCGCGGUAAGUCGAGUGUGAAAUCUCGGAGCUUAACUUCGAAACUGCAUUCGAUACUGCCGUGCUUGAGGACUGGAGAGGAGACUGGAAUUUACGGUGUAGCGGUGAAAUGCGUAGAUAUCGUAAGGAAGACCAGUGGCGAAGGCGGGUCUCUGGACAGUUCCUGACGCUGAGGCACGAAGGCCAGGGGAGCAAACGGG